rnacentral:rRNA from 1 species
AAACGUUUUCUGCGUCUUGAGUUGAUCAAAAUCCCCUGGAAUGGGGUAUCAUGGAGGGUGACAAUCCCGUUCAUGGUUAAUUCUCGGACGCUUUAUGAUACGUUUUCGAAGAGUCGAGUUGUUUGGGAUUGCAGCUCAAAAUGGGAGGUAAAUUUCUCCUAAAGCUAAAUAUUGGCGAGAGACCGAUAGCGAACAAGUACCGUGAGGGAAAGAUGAAAAGAACUUUGAAAAGAGAGUUAAAUAGUACGUGAAAUUGUUGAAAGGGAAACGAUUGAAGUCAGUCGUACCAACGGGAAAUCAACCUUUCGAGCGGGGUUUUGGGAUUUCAAAGAGUUUCAAAGCCUUUGGGGUUUCAAAAUUUCUUCUCUUCUGGUGUACUUUCUCGUAGGUAGGUCAACAUCGAUUUUGAACAUCAUAAAAAGACUGAAGGAAUGUAGCUUCGAUCUCGUAUUGAAGUGUUAUAGACUUUGGUAAAUGUGAUGAUCAAGAUCGAGGAUUGCAACGAAUAUCCUUUUGGGCUAUUCGUCUGAUCUCUGAUCGUUGCCUUGGUAUCGAAAGCUUGC